rnacentral:rRNA from 1 species
GAUCCUGGCUCAGGACGAACGCUGGCGGCGUGCCUAACACAUGCAAGUCGAACGAAGCUCUGCGAUACAAGACUUCGGUCAAGUUGAACGGAUGACUUAGUGGCGGACGGGUGAGUAACGCGUGAGGAACCUGCCUUUCAGUGGGGGACGAACAGUUGGAAACGAACUGCUAAUACCGCAUAAUGUAUUCUGACCGCAUGAUCGGAAUACCAAACGAAUUUAUUUGUCUGAAAGAAUGGCCUCCG